GAAGAAGCUAGGAGACGGGUUCGUGUGACGUAAGGUUCACGACCGAGAGGGGUUUAACCCAGACCGAAGUUAAGGUCCCCAAAUUUUUGCUAAGUGUCAAGCUAAAGUGUGUGUUCGCGCCAAGACAGCAGGGAGGUAAGCUCAGAAGCAGCUAUCCUUUAAAAAGUGUGUAACAACUUACCUGCCGAGCGUGGGCGCCACAAAAACGGACGGGGCUAAAGCAAAGUACCGAUACUUUGGAUACAUGCCAAGGGGCAUGUCAUGGUAGGUUGGCGUAGUGAUUGGGUCGAAGCAGGGCGGUGACGUCCUGUGGACCAUUUUCUAUUGCAGAUCUUGGCGGCAGUAACAGCAUAGUAGAGUGAGAACCUCUACCACCGCAAGCGCAAGGGUUUCCAGGCAAUGCGUUAUCAGCCUGGAGUUAGUCGAUCCUAAGGAUUACCUCAACAGAGUAAUUCGAAAGGGAAACUGGUUAAUAUUCCAGUACCUUGCAAGUUGCGUUAUUAUCUAUAUGAACCGCUUCCGGAUAGGGGGAGCAUAACCAUCGUUGUGUUUAAGCGUUCGAGAGAUGAGGAGUGUCGUAAUGACGAGAAUCAUCUCGAGGCGUUAAUGGCUCUGCGUUAGCAGAGUUCUCUUGAGUCCAGGGGACCUUGAAAAUUUGUGUAGAAAGUGACUUGCAUGUUCGUACCGAGAACCGACACAGGUGCGCUGGCUUAGAAAGCUAAGGUGCUACGGGUAUACCGUAUGGUGAGGGAAUUCGGCAAAUUAGUCCUGUAGCUUAGGUAUAAGGGAUGCCUGCACACUUCAUGAGGAAUGGGGUGAGCAGGUUGCAAUGACAAGGGGGUUUCGACUGUUUAAUAAAAACACAGGCGACUGCUAGUCCGAAAGGAUUUGUAUAGUCGCUGAAUCCUGGCCGGUGCGGGUACCUAAAACUUGGGUUCAACCGAGCUAAGGGCCCGUUAACGCCGGGAGUAACUCUGACUCUCUUAAGGUAGCCAAAUGCCUUGUCGGGUAAGUUCCGACGCGCAUGAAUGGAACAACGAGAGCCCCACUGUCCCCACCUACAACCCGGUGAAGCCACAUAAGGUGGACGAACAGUCCAUCAUCUUCCAUCGGGGAGAGAAGACCCCGUGGAGUUUUACUGCAGCUUGUGCUUGUAGUAUAGUAAAGAUUACAUAGUGUAUCUGGGAGCUAUGCCUCAUUUUCUUUGGGAAAUGAGUGAAGCAACGAUGUAACACCAGAUUAUUUUUGCAGUACUACUUACCCGGUGCAGACCGGGGACACGUGCAGGUGGGCAGUUCGGCUGGGGCGGCACCCCUCAGAAAAGAUAUCUGAGGGGCCCAAAGUUUAGUUCAAACGGGUCAGAAAUCCGUUGAAGAGGGCAAAGCCAAAAACUAGACUGACAGGAUUUCCAAACGCACGGAAUUCUGAGACGAAAGUCUGGCUUAGCGAUCCUUCGUGUGCCCACUAUUGGGGCCCGAAGGUGACAGAAAAAUUACCCCAGGGAUAACAGGCUCGUCGCGGGCGAGAGCUCCUAUCGACCCCGCGGUUUGGUACCUCGAUGUCGGCUUUUCCUAUCCUGGUCCUGCAGCAGGGGCCAAGGGUGAGGCUGCUCGCCUAUUAAAAGGGAACAUGAGCUGGGUUUAGACCGUCGUGAGACAGGUCGGUCUCUGCCUGAUGGAAGCGUCGCUGUCUGAGGGGAAGUUGCUCUUAGUACGAGAGGAACAGAGCANCGUCGCCGCUGGUGUACCGGUUGUCUGAUAAGGCAGGCCGGGCAGCUAAGCGAUUUAGGUUAAGUGCUGAAAGCAUCUAAGCACGAAGCCUAUCCNGAGACAUGACAGCGUUACNUANAGUUGAAGGUUCGCAGCAGAAGACUGCGUUGAUAGAAUGGNGGUGUAGAUCACAAGCUUCGGCGAGUGGUGAGCCNGCCAUUACUAAUAGACCAAAACAUCGGU
rnacentral:rRNA from 1 species